rnacentral:rRNA from 1 species
GACGAACGCUGGCGGCGUGCCUAAUACAUGCAAGUAGAACGCACAGUUUAUACCGUAGCUUGCUACACCAUAGACUGUGAGUUGCGAACGGGUGAGUAACGCGUAGGUAACCUGCCUGGUAGCGGGGGAUAACUAUUGGAAACGAUAGCUAAUACCGCAUAAUAUUAAUUAUUGCAUGAUAAUUAAUUGAAAGGUGCAAUUGCACCACUACCAGAUGGACCUGCGUUGUAUUAGCUAGUAGGUGAGGUAACGGCUCACCUAGGCGACGAUACAUAGCCGACCUGAGAGGGUGAUCGGCCACACUGGGACUGAGACACGGCCCAGACUCCUACGGGAGGCAGCAGUAGGGAAUCUUCGGCAAUGGACGAAAGUCUGACCGAGCAACGCCGCGUGAGUGAAGAAGGUUUUCGGAUCGUAAAGCUCUGUUGUAAGAGAAGAACGGGUGUGAGAGUGGAAAGUUCACACUGUGACGGUAUCUUACCAGAAGGGGACGGCUAACUACG